rnacentral:rRNA from 1 species
GUGGGGAAUAUUGGACAAUGGGGGGAACCCUGAUCCAGCCAUGCCGCGUGUGUGAAGAAGGCCUUUUGGUUGUAAAGCACUUUAAGCGAGGAGGAGGCUACCGAGAUUAAUACUCUUGGAUAGUGGACGUUACUCGCAGAAUAAGCACCGGCUAACUCUGUGCCAGCAGCCGCGGUAAUACAGAGGGUGCAAGCGUUAAUCGGAUUUACUGGGCGUAAAGCGCGCGUAGGUGGCCAAUUAAGUCAAAUGUGCAAUCCCCGAGCUUAACUUGGGAAUUGCAUUCGAUACUGGUUGGCUAGAGUAUGGGAGAGGAUGGUAGAAUUCCAGGUGUAGCGGUGAAAUGCGUAGAGAUCUGGAGGAAUACCGAUGGCGAAGGCAGCCAUCUGGCCUAAUACUGACACUGAGGUGCGAAAGCAUGGGGAGCAAACAGGAUUAGAAACCCGAGUAGUCC